rnacentral:rRNA from 1 species
GACGAACGCUGGCGGCGUGCUUAACACAUGCAAGUCGAACGGAAAGGCCCCUUUGGGGGUACUCGAGUGGCGAACGGGGGAGUAACACGUGAGUAACCUUCCCUUGACUUCGGGAUAACUUCAGGAAACUGGGGCUAAUACCGGAUCGGAAUCCUUGCUGCAUGGUGGGGGUUGGAAAGCUUCGGCGGUUUUUGAUGGACUCGCGGCUUAUCAGCUUGUUGGUGGGGUAGUGGCUUACCAAGGCUUUGACGGGUAGCCGGCCUGAGAGGGCGACCGGCCACAUUGGGACUGAGAUACGGCCCAGACUCCUACGGGAGGCAGCAGUGGGGAAUAUUGCACAAUGGGCGGAAGCCUGAUGCAGCAACGCCGCGUGCGGGAUGACGGCCUUCGGGUUGUAAACCGCUUUCAGCAGGGGCGAAGCUUGUGGUGACGGUACCUGCAGAAGAAGCACCGGCUAACUACGUG